AUAAUAACAACAAAACUGUGCUUUUGGCAAAUAAAGAAAAUAAACAGCGAGUGCAUUUCGACAUCUCUGUCUCCUUGACCAUUUUCCUCAAACACGUUUCAAACAUGAACUGAUAACUCCGCCAAUACUUGUCACACGAACAUGAUACAUAUGUCUAAAGAAAGCCUGAAAUGUCUACUUUUACAUGAUGUAAUUAAAAUCUGAAGAACUCAUUGUCUGUUUGUGUAAUCGACAUGUAAGUAAAGAGAGGUACAGUUUUUCUGUCUCGACCUCAUUAGCGCUAAUAAGAUCCCACCUACCUUGUGCGCGCCAUUCAUAUGGAAAUUACCUGAUGCGGGCUAUGCAAACAAGAUCAACGCCCCCAAACAAUGCUUUAAGAAGCAGCGAGUUUUGACAGUUUCAUCCACUUAUCAACGCGCUGGGAAGAUGACACGCUUUACAGGUGAGGAAGCUAUACAGAUGCUCCUGGCAGCGAGGAAGAGUUCACUGUUUCUUCAGACGAAGAGCAGGACUCCGACGAUGAACGUUUGUUUUUUGAAGAGCGACUUGAUCCAGCUGAGGAUAUAAUUUCUGAAGAGAAUGUGGCAGCAUCACUCUCCUCUUCAGCGGGCAUUUGCAGAAAUGCGACGGACAUUCAUAAAGGUAACGUGGCUUCAUCGUCAUUUACUCGCACGGGGGCAUGCAGAAACGAACCCGAAAUUCAUAAAGUUACAUUUACCGGCUUUUCUGUUCUCAAUAUUUGUAUUACUGACAUGUUGCUUACAUGAUAACAGUAAAUGUGCCCAGAGAUUGUCAUCAUGCUCAAAUAUGCAUGUAUCUGUUCGGGUGUAAAUGUUUCGAUGUAGCCUAGUAUUGAUGUGCUGUAAAUGUGCCCGGAGAUAUGUCAUGUGUUAAUUUUUAGCUAUAAAUAUGUCCGGUAAUGGCCCGUUAACAAACAUAUACAGCGCAUCUCUGUACCCAAUUAUUUUCUGCUUUACUGCCUGAGUUAUAUAACAGUAUAUAUUUGACUGUGGAUGCAUUUAUAUAAGGUAAAAUGUAAGGCAACAUUUGUUUAAUUAUUCCUCAUAACAUUUUAAUGCCACGAUCUACAGAACAUCACACAAAAAAACAUUUUGAGAACUAAACCUAAAAAAUAACAAUGGUGAUCCUGCCUUGGAAACCCCGGCUACAAUUUAGUAUUUUUAUUUAAUUUGGAGAUUAAGCGCGUCAAAGCCAUGACCAAAAAAAAGACAAAUGACAAAUAAUUUGUGAUUGUUACUGUAAAUGAUAAAAACUAAGCUUUGUAUACAAUUCAUUAAACGUUAAUUUAUAACAAGAAAAACACUGAAAUUAAUGAUUUUAUAGACACUACGCGUUAUUGUUUAGCACAGAAAUGCUUGCUUGCUUUGACUUUGAUCAUCUCUGUAUUCACUUUAGAUACAGAAAGACCUGAUGAUAUUAUUUAUUUCAGGAAUCUCUUUGCUAUCAUUUGAAAGUGAACACCGACCAUAAUAGAUAACCACUCGGUUUUAAAUACAUUUUAAAACGUAUACCCGUCGAAAAACAUCCGUUUUGUAAUGUUUAGUUCGAUGAACUUCUAAAUAUGAGACGUAGAGCACCUAUCACUUUCGGCUAAAUUGCAUGCGCAAACAUGGCCAGAACGCAAUAGCGCAACGUCGAUAGAACGAAAAACAAUCCAAAAUGUACAGACUUAAAUUAUAUCAGAAUUUACGUUUAUAAUAAAUACAUUUUUUAAAUAAAAUAAGGUCAGAAGUAACAACGUGCAGAACAAAUGUGCAAAAUGCCUCAAGUGCACGGAAACAAAACACAAGCCAAAUAGAUAAAUCAGAUAACCCAGAGUGAUUUAUAAAUAAAAUAAAGAAAUUAAUAAAAAACGAAAGUAUUGGCAGAAUUGCCAGCUUUGUCUUUUAAAUGUAGAAACAAAGAUGCAAUGGUUUAUUAACAUAGAAACCUCUUAUGGACGUGGAGCCCCAUCACAGGCUUUGUUAGUUGGAUUUAACGCAUUUUAAAAAUAUUUAUUGAAAGCUGCUACAUCACAUAUUAUUUGCAGCAUUAUAAUAAUAUACUGUAUAUUAAUAUAUUGGGAGAAAGCUGUUAUAUGUGAAAUCAGAUAAUGUGUGCACCCAUAUACGGCCAAAAUUGAAUGAUCCUCAUUUCAUAGCACAUCUGCAACGAUUCGACUGUGAGAUUGGUAGUCGAAUCCGGCUUCUCCGAUGCAUCGAAUCUUCAACUAUUCGGGGUCACCCCUAUUAAUUAUUAAAAAAAGUUCUCAAUAUUAGUAAUACUGAUGUGUUGCUUUGUACUUUGAAAAUACAUGAUAUUAAUUAAGAUAUGUUUUCAGGAAUGUGUCUGCUACACCAACUUCGUCUGGUACCCGCACGUUUUGAACAAUGGCACGACAACAUUUAACUCCAUUCCCAAAGAGUUACAGUGUGUGAUGGUUUACAAAUGUAUACCUUAUUUUUUUAUAUUUGGAAGUAUUUUUAGAUGCACACCAAACUUUCACAGCUGACCAUUUAGAAUCCUUUUCUUUUAAUUAGAGCCAUAUUGUACUGGUCAUAUAGAAUAUUGUUACAUGUAUACAUAUUGUUACUUUAUUAUUUAUAAUUACAAUGAAGCUU